rnacentral:tRNA from 1 species
AGGAGGCAGCGGGGAUUCGACUUCCCCUGGGGGUAG